UGGAAUCACAAAGAAUCGCUCCCACUUGGCUGGGCCAAAAAGAGAACGCAGAAGGUUUGCAGAGGUGGAAGCAGUAGAAGGACGAGGGAACAGAGGUGGUGCCGGAGUGAGCAUAAGACAGAACGAUGUCAAUGUCCCUGUACUGACGGAGGUUAAGCCUGAAGCAAAUCGUGAUGACCGUCAUUCCGGGAAAAUCCCCGAGAUACCUCAGCAGCGUGUCUUUCCUUGGAAUUCCCUCCUGCUGGAAUUUCACGCCCGUCACUUCUGUUAGGAGCCGAGGGUGUACCGACGAAGAAGAAGCAGACGCAGCCAGCGACGAAAAAUUGCCGAAGAACAGCCUGAUGAAGAAGGAGAUGGAGAAGGGAGAGCAAAGGCGCCUUCCCUCUCCCUCGUGUCUGUUUUGUUCCUCGUCUUGGAUUCAGUUGGUUUUUCUCUAAGUGUGCAUCGAGAGUCCUUGGCCUCUUCAUUUUGCAGGCUGGAGUGCGAGGUGGACGUGGUGCCUUGAAGAUAUCUAGUGCGAAAGCAAUUUGGAUCUGCUACCACUAGUUGCAGUGCAUUUUAUGGAAAGAGUGAGAACCGUGGUACUGGUGAUACUGAUGCGAGUACAAUACAUACAUGUUUAGAAGCAAGCAUCUGCU